rnacentral:rRNA from 1 species
AGCGAACGCUGGCGGCAGGCCUAACACAUGCAAGUCGAACGAACCUUUCGGGGUUAGUGGCGGACGGGUGAGUAACACGUGGGAACGUGCCUUUAGGUUCGGAAUAACUCAGGGAAACUUGUGCUAAUACCGAAUGUGCCCUUCGGGGGAAAGAUUUAUCGCCUUUAGAGCGGCCCGCGUCUGAUUAGCUAGUUGGUUGAGGUAAUGGCUCACCAAGGCGACGAUCAGUAGCUGGUCUGAGAGGAUGAUCAGCCACAUUGGGACUGAGACACGGCCCAAACUCCUACGGGAGGCAGCAGUGGGGAAUCUUGCGCAAUGGGCGAAAGCCUGACGCAGCCAUGCCGCGUGAAUGAUGAAGGACUUAGGAUUGUAAAAUUCUUUCACCGGGGACGAUAAUGACGGUACCCGGAGAAGAAGCCCCGGCUAACUUCGUG